rnacentral:tRNA from 1 species
GCCCAAGUAGCUCAGUUGGUAGAGCAGAGGACUGAAAAUCCUCGUGUCGGUGGUUCAAUUCCGCCCUUGGGCACCA